rnacentral:rRNA from 1 species
GAGUUUGAUCGUGGCUCAGAUUGAACGCUGGCGGCAGGCCUUACACAUGCAAGUCGAACGGCAGCACGGGAGCUUGCUCCUGGUGGCGAGUGGCGAACGGGUGAGUAAUGCAUCGGAACGUAUCCUGGAGUGGGGGAUAACGUAGCGAAAGUUACGCUAAUACCGCAUAUUCUGUGAGCAGGAAAGCGGGGGACCUUCGGGCCUCGCGCUCUUGGAGCGGCCGAUGUCGGAUUAGCUAGUUGGUGAGGUAAAGGCUCACCAAGGCGACGAUCCGUAGCAGGUCUGAGAGGAUGAUCUGCCACACUGGAACUGAGACACGGUCCAGACUCCUACGGGAGGCAGCAGUGGGAAUUUUGGACAAUGGGGGCAACCCUGAUCCAGCCAUGCCGCGUGAGUGAAGAAGGCCUCGGUUGUAAGUACGUCUUCGUCGUAGG